GACGAACGCUGGCGGCGUGCUUAACACAUGCAAGUCGAACGAAGUGGCGAACGGGUGAGUAACGCGUAAUCAACCUGCCAUUCAGAGGGGGACAACAGUUGGACACGACGGCUAAUACCGCAUACGGAAGGAGGGGAUUGUGUCUGAUUGGUUAGUUGGAGGGGUAACGGCCCACCAAGGCGCAGAUCAGUAGCCGGUCUGAGAGGAGGAACGGCCACAUUGGGACUUGGACACGGCCCAGACUCCUACGGGAGGCAGCAGGGGGGAAUCUUCCGCAAUGGAAGAAAGUUUGACGGAGCAACGCCGCGUGAGUGAUGACGGCUUUCGGGUUGGAAAGCUCUGUUAAUCGGGACGCGGUACCGGAAUAGAAAGCCACGGCUAACUACGUGCCAGCAGCCGCGGUAAUAC
rnacentral:rRNA from 1 species